UCAGCCAACUUUCUAUAGUGAUCAACUAUUCUCCGAACUUCUUCCAAACUUUGCCAAUAUCCGAGCUUCUUCGACAGUGAGAUUUCUACAGUAAUCAGACUCCAUCCAAGUUUCUACGGCGGUCGACCACCUUUAGGAUUCCAAUCAAGCUCCUGCAAGAGCCGAACUCCUACUACGAGUGAUCUACUCAGAACUUCUACUACGAGCGGCCUACUCCGAACUCCUAUAGUGGAUGGUCUACCCUGGAUAUCUAUUGUAAGCAAAUUUCAUUCGAGUCUCUACUAUAAACACAUUUCUUCCAAACUUUUAUUACAGGUAGACUUCAGUCGAGCUUCUUCGUAGUCGGAUCCCAGAUGAGCUUCUACAAUGGGAUAGGACCCACCGGCCAGGUCGCUACUCCGAGCUCCCACGACAACUGAUCUUCGAUCAAGCUUCUACUAUAAGCGGUCUCCUUUCAGCCUUCUAC
rnacentral:lncRNA from 1 species